UACGUAGGGUGCAAGCGUUAAUCGGAAUUACUGGGCGUAAAGCGUGCGCAGGCGGCUUUGCAAGACAGAUGUGAAAUCCCCGGGCUUAACCUGGGAACUGCAUUUGUGACUGCAUGGCUGGAGUGCGGGAGAGGGGGAUGGAAUUCCGCGUGUAGCAGUGAAAUGCGUAGAUAUGCGGAGGAACACCGAUGGCGAAGGCGAUACCCUGGGCCGGCACUGACGCUGAUGCGCGAAAGCGUGGGGAGCAAACAGG
rnacentral:rRNA from 1 species